rnacentral:rRNA from 1 species
UACGUAGGGUCCGAGCGUUGUCCGGAAUUAUUGGGCGUAAAGAGCUCGUAGGCGGUCUGUCGCGUCGGCUGUGAAAACACGGGGCUCAACUCCGUGCCUGCAGUCGAUACGGGCAGACUAGAGUUCGGUAGGGGAGACUGGAAUUCCUGGUGUAGCGGUGAAAUGCGCAGAUAUCAGGAGGAACACCGAUGGCGAAGGCAGGUCUCUGGGCAUUAACUGACGCUGAGGAGCGAAAGCAUGGGGAGCGAACAGG